GAUGUCCAGACGAUCGCGGGCCGAAAGGCAUGAGGAAAGUCCGAGCACCGCAGGGCAGGGUGCCGGCUAACGGCCGGUGGAGGCGACUCCAAGGAGAGUGCAACAGAGAGAUACCGCCCCGGUUUCCGGGGUAAGGGUGGAAAGGUGAGGUAAGAGCUCACCCACGGCUUGGCGACUUGUCCGUGCUGUAAACCCCACCUGGUGCAAGAUGGUAUGGGAGCACAUGCGGCGGCCCGCCGCGCUCCCGCAAUCGCUUGAACCCGCAUGGCAACAUCGGGUCUGGAUAGAUGAUCGUCCAAUACAGAACUCGGCUUACGGGCAUGCUCG
rnacentral:RNase_P_RNA from 1 species